AACAAUGGUCGUCAAGUCUUCCAAAAACUGGUAGAUGGACCUUGUCAGUGUUUCAGUUUUUUUCCCGUUUAAGAAAGAAGAAAAUGUCACCUAUCCAGCAUCUUUUCAUCAAAGAACGAGCAAGACCCGCUGCUCGUGUUUGCAACGUUACAUCCCAGUACAAUACACACCGGCAUCAUACCUUCAGCUGGACCUCACUUAUGCGACAUUGGGUGGCGGUGCUCAUCCUUCCAACUGCUCUUCUUCUCCUCCCUCCCUCCUCCCCGCAGCUGUCCUGUGGGAUGUGAUGAUGCUCUGACAGGCUUGGUGUCUGUUCUUGGAGGUGCUGGUAUUUUUGUGCCACAGCGGCGGGGGCUGGUACAGGAAUAGGGCCGGAGUUGUAGUGUGUAGUGGGAGUGGGAGCUGGGGAGGGCUGGGAUGGUUUAAGACAGUACUGUGAGAUUUUAAGCCAUUGUAUAGACACAGGAGGGAGACCAGGGGAGGAUUGCGUAAGUCGGCUCCCUGGCUGCAAAUUUAGCCUGGGCCUGCUCACGCAAUAAUUUGAUGAGCAGUACUAUCUCAGUCGUCAGAGCCGGGGUAUUUAAAGAUGUGAGUGUGUGUUGUCAUGGGAUGUGGGGUGUAUUUAUUAUGCGUGUUUAUUUACAACCCAUGAAGAUAGCUGAUCAUUUGUGAUGGAAAGAGCGGCCUUUGCAUCUACAGUACAGCACCUCUCCCCUUCACUCUGCUCUCUGUUCCUCAUCCUGUGUUUUGUAGUCUGUCACUGAAACUCCUUUUUACUUCUCCUCCAACUUCACGACAGGAAUAAACUUGGACAGCAACAAGAGAUCUUUGAGGUUAAUGAUAUAAAUAGAUUUUAGCCCUUCUAUUUUCCACUUGGGUCCUCCCUUUUGUCUAUUUGCAUGUGUAGAUGUCUGAUUGACAGUCUCCUAAGGUUUAAAAAAAAAAAAUGCCACUACAGUAUAGAGUAGUGAUGCACCUAUCCAACUUUUCCUCUACUAAUAAUGAUACAUCAACUCUGUGUACCGAGUGCUCCCAUUUCCCCAAAUUUCAAAUCUGUAUACCUUCAAGGUGUGGAAUUCACAGGAAUCAUUUGUAUGUGAUGAAACAUGAGGUCAGGGAUGCAGAAACACUGAGUUUUAUAAUGACAUUAUUAAGGAAACUGUAUGAUUGGUCACGUCAUAGUCUCGCAUUGUCCACACAGCAAUCCAGGAUGGGAGAAAAACAUGCUCUGGUUUAUUGGCAUUUCUUUAAA